CAGGGAUUUCUUCUAGAUCUUUCAUCAUUCUACUCUCACUAUCUCCAUCUUGCUUGUUCUCGCCAUCUUGCAACCAUUGCUGCUGUUAGUUUGGAGGUUGGCUUUACAAGGUCUCAAGUUGUUGCUACUAUUUCUGCUUCUAACUUCAUCCAGAUUUAGUACUUCAACAAUGGAUUUUGUGGCUGGGAUCGUUUAAAGAUUGUCUAAAGUUCAUUACUUUACUUUUAAGCAUCCAAGACGCAGUUACUAUGCCUCCAAAAAGAGUGUCUCAUGUCAGGCCAGAAGACCCACCAGAACCCCUUGAAGUUAGAGUUCUAAAAAGGUGGAUCCCCUACUUUAAAAACAAGGAGAAAAUGAUCGACCUAUGUUACCUAUUAGUUGAUAUACAUGGAGACGCAAUUGAAGCAGUGGCAGAUGUUACCAAAGUAGAAUACUUUGACUCACUUAUCAAUGUACAACAUUGUUACACGGUUGACAAGUAUGUCUCAUCUCCACAACGCCAAUACAUGCCAUCGGCACCACACGUCGCUUCACUGAAAAUUAGGAAAAAGGCUACUUUUACACCUUUACUUGACAAAGACAUACCCACUUACUAUUAUAACUUUGCAACCUAUGAUGAUCUUGCGCCAAGAAUGAAGCCACCAAAGCUACUUACAGACUACAUAGGGCGUGUCGAGGAGGUAUCACCCAUCAUGUUUAGAAGUGGAAAAAAGCUACGAAAGAUCAUCAUUCAAGAUGAAAGGUGCAAUGAAAUCGAAUUGAAGUAACACUCUGGGAUGAGAAGGCAUACAUGAUUGAAACAGAGGACAUCAUUGGCAAAGUAUUUGCAAUAACUGCUACCAUGGUAACUUAUUUCAAAAAACUACAACUUGAGUCCACAACAUCAACUACAAUUGUUAUCAAUCCACCGAUCCUAGAUCUUCAGACAUACAUGAACAAAUUUCAAGAAUUAGUGCCACUUACAGAACAAUGUGCAUCAUUAUACCACAUCACCAUUGCUGAACUAUUGCUGAACUGAAGAAGAAAAUUUACAACAAGACUGCGAUAAACUACUUUUUUCCUCAUCAACAAGGACACUACACAUGCACUGCAAGAAUAACAGAAAUCGAUGAGUUACGCACCUGGUUUUAUGUGAAAUGUCCCAAAUGUGGCAAGACAGCAUUUCCGGAAAAAGACCGAUACGUAACGUUUGCUUGGACGAUGAUAUAGAAGAAGAAGAACCGAUUUUCAAGUAUUACCUCAACGCAAAUAAAACAGAUAACACAGACUCCACAGAGGCAGUCUUCCACAAUGAAGCCCUUAAUGAUAUUGUCAAGCUAAGUUGUCGUGACAUGGUAAUGAAUUUGGGAAACAGAAACCCAAAGGUGUUGCCAGACAAAAUAACUUCAACAAAGGGGGAACCAAAGCUACUACACAUCACGGUGAAAAAUGAUAAUAGCAUUGAUGCGCGUGAAGUGUAGUAUUAUUUUUUAUGAGUAUUUAAGCCCUUUUUACACUUUUAGCCAAGUUUUAAAUUUAUAA